UUUAUUUCUUUAAUUUAUGUAACCAUUAUUUAAUAAUUGAUAAUCCUAAAUCCUUCUUCUUCUUCUUCUUCAUCUUCUCUCUUUUCGUUUCUCUCUUAUUCUUUAAUAAUUGAUGAUGGAUCAUCCUCACACCUAAAGCUAAACAACUCACAGCUUAGAAUGGAUUCGGAAAAUUUGUUGGAAUAGAGAUUGAUAUGCUGAAGGAAAGGUUUGCAAAAUUACUACAUUGAUCAAGUAUCUUGUAAUUGAAUUUCUAUAUGCUUGUAUUGAAAGAAGGUUCCGCUGAAUUGGAAUUAAC